CCUACGGGGGGCAGCAGUGGGGAAUAUUGGACAAUGGGCGAAAGCCUGAUCCAGCCAUGCCGCGUGUGUGAAGAAGGCCUUCGGGUUGUAAAGCACUUUCAGUGGGGAAGAAAGCCUUGGGGCUAAUACCCUCGAGGAAGGACAUCACCCACAGAAGAAGCACCGGCUAACUCCGUGCCAGCAGCCGCGGUAAUACGGAGGGUGGAGCGUUAAUCGGAAUUACUGGGCGUAAAGCGCGCGUAGGCGGUCUGAUAAGCCGGUUGUGAAAGCCCCGGGCUCAACCUGGGAACGGCAUCCGGAACUGUCAGGCUAGAGUGCAGGAGAGGAAGGUAGAAUUCCCGGUGUAGCGGUGAAAUGCGUAGAGAUCGGGAGGAAUACCAGUGGCGAAGGCGGCCUUCUGGACUGACACUGACGCUGAGGUGCGAAAGCGUGGGUAGCAAACAGGAUUAGAUACCCCAGUAGUC
rnacentral:rRNA from 1 species